rnacentral:rRNA from 1 species
CGCCCGUCGCUCCUACCGAUUGGGUGUGCUGGUGAAGUGUUCGGAUUGGCGACCGGGGGCGGUUUCCGCCCUCGGCCGCCGAGAAGUUCAUUAAUCCCUCCCACCUAGAGGAAGGAGAAGUCGUAACAAGGUUUCC